rnacentral:snoRNA from 10 species
GGUUGUGGUGGUUUUCUUUCUGGUACAUUUGUUAAGUUUUCAAAUGAGCCUAACUCUGCCACAUAUAUCAUAUAGGAGCUGGCAAAGGCUUGAUGACAAAGAGAUCUCUCUCAAGCCUUUCCCACAUCAGAGGCUGGCUUUCACACAC